GACGAACGCUGGCGGCGUGCUUAACACAUGCAAGUCGAACGGAAAGGCCCUGCUUUUGUGGGGUGCUCGAGUGGCGAACGGGUGAGUAACACGUGAGUAACCUGCCCUUGACUUUGGGAUAACUUCAGGAAACUGGGGCUAAUACCGGAUAGGAGCUCCUGCUGCAUGGUGGGGGUUGGAAAGUUUCGGCGGUUGGGGAUGGACUCGCGGCUUAUCAGCUUGUUGGUGGGGUAGUGGCUUACCAAGGCUUUGACGGGUAGCCGGCCUGAGAGGGUGACCGGCCACAUUGGGACUGAGAUACGGCCCAGACUCCUACGGGAGGCAGCAGUGGGGAAUAUUGCACAAUGGGCGGGAGGCUGAUGCAGCAACGCCGAGUGCGGGAUGACGGCCUUCGGGUUGUAAACCGUUUUCGCCUGUGACGAAGCGUGAGUGACGGUAAUGGGUAAAGAAGCACCGGCUAACUACGUG
rnacentral:rRNA from 1 species